rnacentral:rRNA from 1 species
UACGUAGGGGGGCUAGCGUUGUCCGGAAUCAUUGGGCGUAAAGCGCGUGUAGGCGGCCCGGUAAGUCCGCUGUGAAAGUCGGGGGCUCAACCCUCGAAAGCCGGUGGAUACUGUCGGGCUCGAGUACGGGAGAGGCGAGUGGAAUUCCUGGUGUAGCGGUGAAAUGCGCAGAUAUCAGGAGGAACACCGAUUGCGAAGGCAGCUCGCUGGAACGUUACUGACGCUGAGACGCGAAAGCGUGGGGAGCAAACAGG